UCCGAGUUGACCCCGGCAGUCUCCCAUGAGUCCCCGGCAUAACCCGCUGGCAACAUGGAAUAAGGGUUGCGCUCGUUGCGGGACUUAACCCAACAUCUCACGACACGAGCUGACGACAGCCAUGCACCACCUGUGCGGGGCCCAAAAGGACACCGUAUCUCUACGGCUUUUCCCCACAUGUCAAACCCAGGUAAGGUUCUUCGCGUUGCCUCGAAUUAAGCAACAUGCUCCGCCGCUUGUGCGGGCCCCCGUCAAUUCCUUUGAGUUUCAGCCUUGCGGCCGUACUCCCCAGGCGGGGCACUUAAUGCGUUAGCGCCGGCACUCAAGGGGUCGCUCCCCCAAGCACCUAGUGCCCAUCGUUUACGGCGUGGACUAC
rnacentral:misc_RNA from 1 species